GAGAACGCUGGCGGCGUGCAUAACACAUGCAAGUCGAACGGGAGUAUUGAAGAAGCUUGCUUUAGAGAUACUUUAGUGGCGGACGGGUGAGUAACGCGUGAGGAGCUGUCCGAUGCAGGGGGACAACAGUUGGAAACGACUGCUAAUACCCCAUAAGCCGAGAGGUAAAAGGAUUUAUCCGGCAAUGGAGGUACUCGCGUCCUAUCAGCUAGUAGGUGAGGUAACGGCUCACCUAGGCGAAGACGGGUAGCCGGCCUGAGAGGGCGAACGGCCACACUGGAACUGAGAUACGGUCCAGACUCCUACGGGAGGCAGCAGUGGGGAAUAUUGGGCAAUGGGGGGAACCCUGACCCAGCGACGCCGCGUGGGUGAAGAAAUCCUUCGGGAUGUAAAGCCCUGUUGUAUGGGAAGAGCGGAAGACGGUACCAUACGAGGAAGCCCCGGCAAACUACGUG
rnacentral:rRNA from 1 species